AUUAAUCAUUCCAGACCUGAUAAUCAAAUAUGUACAGCAUCUGAUGUUGAGUCGACUGAACCUUUAUAUGAGAAUGUUACGAUGAAUCAUUCCAGACCUUGUGAUAUUGAGAUGACUGAACCUGUGUAUGAGAAUACAAUGAUGUCAGAACAUGUCUGUGAUGUCACGCACUCGUCUGUCCAUCACAGGGUCACAUGAUCACACAGUCAAC